rnacentral:rRNA from 1 species
AUUGAACGCUGGCGGCAGGCCUAACACAUGCAAGUCGGGCGAGGCGCGCAGGGGUGUGUUAUGUAUGGGGAUCUCCCCGAUAGGGGGGGAUAACCACUGGACACGGUCGCUAACACCGCAAUCUCACGGAUGACCCCAUAUGGGUUUAGCGAGUGGGUGGGGUAAAGGCUCACCUAGGCGACGAUCUCUCGCUGGUCUGAGAGGAUGAUCAGCCACACUGGAACUGAGACACGGCCCAGACUCCUACGGGAGGCAGCAGUGGGGAAUAUUGCACAAUGGGCGCAAGCCUGAUGCAGCCAUGCCGCGUGUAUGAAGAAGGCCUUAGGGUUGUAAAGUACUUUCAGCGGGGAGGCGUUACCCGCAGAAGAAGCACCGGCUAACUCCGUGCCAGCAGCCGCGGUAAUUC